rfam:Oryza meridionalis cultivar OR44 (W2112) chromosome 1, whole genome shotgun sequence.
UUUAACUGCAACCAUGAGUUUUCGUGCCCAACUUUAAUCGUCCGUCUAAUUUAAAUUUAUUUUAAAAAAAUUUAAAAACGAAAGUCACGCAUAAAGUACUAUUAAUGUUUUAUCAUCUCAUAACAACAAAAAUACUAAUUAUAAAAAUUUUUCAAAUAAGACGGCCGAUUAAAAUAGGAUAANNNNNNN